AGCUAAUAGAUACCCCGGUAGUCCACGCUGUAAACGAUGGGCACUAGGUGUCGCGGGUAUUGACCCCUGCGGUGCCGCAGCUAACGCAUUAAGUGCCCCGCCUGGGGAAUACGGCCGCAAGGUUAAAAACUCAAAGGAAUUGACGGGGGCCCGCACAAGCGGUGGAGCAUGUGGUUCAAUUCGACGCAACGCGAAGAACCUUACCCGGGCUAGACAACAGAGGACCGGCUUAGAAAUAAGCUCUUCCCUUCGGGGACCUCUGGUUCAGGUGCUGCAUGGCUGUCGUCAGCUCGUGUCGUGAGAUGUU
rnacentral:rRNA from 1 species